GACGAACGCUGGCGGCGUGCUUAACACAUGCAAGUCGAGCGGACAGGCCCUGCUUUUGUGGGGUGCUCGAGUGGCGAACGGGUGAGUAACACGUGAGUAACCUGCCCUUGACUUUGGGAUAACUUCUGGAAACUGGGGCUAAUACCGGGUAGAAGCUCCUGCUGCAUGGUGGGGGUUGGAAAGUUUCGGCGGUGGGGGAUAGACUCGCGGCUUAUCAGCUUGUUAGGGUGGUAGUGGCUUACCAGGGCUAUGACGGGUAGCCGGCAUGAGAGGGUGACCGGCGACAUUGGGACUGAGAGACGCCGCAGACUCGUACGGGAGGCAGCAGUGGAGAAUAUGGCACAAUGGGCGGAAGCCUGAUGCAGCAACGCCGCGUGCGGAAAGACGGCCUUUGGGUUGUAAACCGCUUUCGCAGGUGACGAAGCGUGAGUGACGGUAAUGGGUAAAGAAGCACCGGCUAACUACGUG
rnacentral:rRNA from 1 species